AUUGAACGCUGGCGGCAGGCCUAACACAUGCAAGUCGAACGGUAACAGGAAACAGCUUGCUGUUUCGCUGACGAGUGGCGGACGGGUGAGUCAUGUCUGGGAAACUGCCUGAUGGAGGGGGAUAACUACUGGAAACGGUAGCUAAUACCGCAUAACGUCGCAAGCCCAAAGAGGGGGACCUUCGGGCCUCUUGCCAUCGGAUGUGCCCAGAUGGGAUUAGCUAGUAGGUGGGGUAACGGCUCACCUAGGCGACGAUCCCUAGCUGGUCUGAGAGGAUGACAGGCAACACUGGAACUGGGACACGGUCCAGACUCCUACGGGAGGCAGCAGUGGGGAAUAUUGCACAAUGGGCGAAAGCCUGAUGCAGCCAUGCCGCGUGAAGGAAGAAGGCCUUCGGGUUGUAAAGUACUUUCAGCGGGGAGGAAGGGAGUAAAGUUAAUACCUUUACUCAUUGACGUUACCCGAAGAAGAAGCACCGGCUAACUCCGUG
rnacentral:rRNA from 1 species